rnacentral:misc_RNA from 1 species
AAGUCGUAACAAGGUUUCCGUAGGUGAACCUGCGGAAGGAUCAUUCACAAUAAGUGUUUUUAUGGCACUUUAAAAAUCCAUAUCCACCUUGUGUGCAACGUUUUGAGCUCUUUUUGUCAUUUCGCCGGUCGCAGAACGUUUGUUCUACAGCCGCGGAAGGUACGAUAAGGAGGGCUUUUUAUACCUUAACUCUUGAUCUUUAACAACUUUGUCUGAAAAGCUAUUGCGAAUUAACUUAAUUCAAAAUAAAUACAACUUUCAACAACGGAUCUCUUGGCUCUC